rnacentral:lncRNA from 1 species
CAUUUCUCAGUCUCACUUAUCGAGGGGCCCAGAAGAUAUCUCUCUCAUAGAGAGGGACAAAUCCUAUCUUGAUUGUUCAUUUUCCUCUACAUAAUUUCUAUUAUGCUCAAUCAUAACCUUUAUGAUUGUCCGAUUAAAGACAACGUUUGGUUAUGUCAAAACAUAACAGUCCUUAUGUUGGAAACUAUGACAAUCUCAAGUCAAAGGAUUAAGACAUAACUACUUUGAGAUUCACUUAUGACAAUGACCCAUGUAGUGAUCUCAAUGCGGGUCCAUCCAAUACUUUGUUCUCUAACAAGUAUUUAUGAUUAUUGAAUUAUAUCAACAUAUACAUAAUCAUCUCAUGAUUAUCAA